rnacentral:rRNA from 1 species
GAUGAACGCUGGCGGCGUGCCUAAUACAUGCAAGUCGAGCGAACAGACGAGGAGCUUGCUCCUCUGACGUUAGCGGCGGACGGGUGAGUAACACGUGGAUAACCUACCUAUAAGACUGGGAUAACUUCGGGAAACCGGAGCUAAUACCGGAUAAUAUAUUGAACCGCAUGGUUCAAUAGUGUAAGACGGUUUUGCUGUCACUUAUAGAUGGAUCCGCGCCGCAUUAGCUAGUUGGUAAGGUAACGGCUUACCAAGGCAACGAUGCGUAGCCGACCUGAGAGGGUGAUCGGCCACACUGGAACUGAGACACGGUCCAGACUCCUACGGGAGGCAGCAGUAGGGAAUCUUCCGCAAUGGGCGAAAGCUUGACGGAGCAACGCCGCGUGAGUGAUGAAGGUCUUCGGAUCGUAAAACUCUGUUAUUAGGGAAGAACAAAUGUGUAAGUAACUAUGCACGUCUUGACGGUACCUAGUCAGAAAGCCACGGCUAACUACGUG